ensembl:lncRNA
CUCACAUCUGUGUGACUUUGACUGACCUGUGUGUUUCUGCUUGUGUGUGUGUGUGUGUGUGUGUGUGUGUGUGUGUGUGUGUGUGUGUGUGUGUGUGUGUGUGUGUGUGUGUGUGUGUGUGUGUGUGUGUGUGUGUGUGUGUGUGUGUGUGUGUGUGUGUGUCUCCAGGGGACCGGGGACAGUGGGGAAGCGAGGGCUGAAGGGGCCUAAGGGCGAGCAGGGCCCCCGGGACUGGACCAGCCCUGUCCUGUGGGUUGUAACGGACCCAAAGGCCUCUCAGAUGGGGCCGCUCUCUCUGAUCCUUCCCCUCCUCUUCCUCCUACGGCCCCGGGCGCCCCCGGGGGGCCCUGUCCUGUGGGCCAAGAUGGACUACCAAUACAAGGUUGCUGGCACAAGUGAUAACUAACCAGCAGCAUGGCCUCUGUACAUAUUGAUAUGGUAUAUAUUGAAUACUACAGCAAACGCCCCCUCGUCAUCGUUUUUUAAAGCCUUUUUAUAUAAUAUAUAGAGAUUUCUAACAUGGACCUUUUUGUGGCUCGACGGAUGUUAAUGACUUUUGCCCAAGUCAUGAGUUCUUCAGAUGAAGUUUUUGAGAUCCAGCAGUGCUGGCAAUCCCGCCGAGACAUGAACGAGAGGCGACAGAGGACUCCACACACAGAAGGACUUUGUCUUGCAAAGCAAGGACAGACUGGGGAUCCAGCGGCCUUACUAACACUCUGGGGAAUCUCACCCCCGGCCUGGCCUGAUUGGGAAUGCUGCAUGGCAGUGACAAUGUGGGCUCCCUUAGCCUCACAGAUAACCAUUGGGUUGGAUGGACAGAUUCCCCUAGUGUGGUUUAUAGAAGAAUGUCUGGAUCAGUACUCUCCACCUUCUCUCUCUCUCUCUCUCUCUCUCUCUCUCUCUCUCUCUCUCUCUCUCUCUCUCUCUCUCUCUCUCUCUCUCUCUCUCUCUCUCUCUCUCUCUCUCUCUCUCUCGUUCUCGCUCUUCUUUCUGAAAGGAGGAGAUGGCAAGGCAGAAGCUUAAACGCAAGCGUCUCUCUCAGCCCUGAACAGGAGAGAGGGUUCCUAGGGGGGACAGGAAGGAGACGUAGAUGGACAAGAGAGCAUAUGGGACUACACUGCCCUCUGGGAAGCAGAGAAAACCAUGGAAGGCCUUUUGUGGCACACGCAACACUCAGAUCCGCUGUGACAGACAUUCACCAGGAGGGGGUGCCAGAAUACACGCCAUAUCCGCAUUCAUCGUAGGAGGGCGCCAGCACCCAUGUCUGUUACGAUAACGUUUACCAGGUGGCGGUAAAACAGCUCUUUGCUCUGGGUCAUUGAGGUCACUGGCACAUACAGAGAGGAUAAACCAAGUAGAAUUUAUUGAACGUGUUGUUGCUAAUCUAUUGGUUUAUGCAUUUACAGAUUCAGUUGAUUGUGGAGAUCCACUGUGAUGCUGUAUGUCAUUCUUACAGCGUAUAUUACAUGGUCUCUUUAUCUUUGCAAACCAAAAACCUUAAGCUAUUCUAGUUAUAUUUUAUUUAAAAUAAAACAGUCUUUGACAUUCUUUACAUUCAACCUGGCCAUAGGUUUUUCUCUUCUUUAUGACUUUUUGACAGUUCUUGCAUUUGACUUGUGGUGUUUUGUAUUGUUUAGUUUCAUUCUUAUCGACUCAAGUAACAUGUUGCAUUCCUGUGCAUUUAUGUUUUUGUAUAGAAUGCUCAAAAUUUGUAUUUGAGUGCAAGCCAGUACUGAAGGAACCAUAUACAGUAAUUAGAACGAUGCAGAAGUGUGUUGGCUCUAAGCAGAUCCAUUGUUUGGUUAAUUCUUCUCCUUCUUCCUUUUUUUGCUCAAAAUAGUCUUGUAUCAAAUGCUUGUCAGCCAAGUGUUAUGUAUUUUCAUUGACCUAUCUCUUAAUCAUAGGUUAAAACGUGUUAUAUUGCCAUGGCUUUUGAUCACCAAAAUAAUUGCUUGCCAUGUUUUUGUGAGAAAAGUUGUCGGUUUAUAAAGACAUAAAUAUUAUUAUUACACACUCUGAUACACAUUCUUAGUGUGUCUCUAUUUAACUCUUUCACACACAGUGAAACACACACACUCCCACACAUGCUCUCUGGGAAAUUACAACAAAGAGGGAUUGCAGCAGGCUAGUCUAACUCAAGAGUUUUCAAGGCUCUUGUACAAACAAGACGAAUGUUUGAAAUUGCUUUUUUUUCCCUGUCCUUUUUGUUGAUACUUAAAGAUGAUUACGUUUGAAUUCAUUCAUAGACAUUGUUUGAAGGUAUAAACUAGUAUGUGUUUACCAGAUUAACUUCCGUUUCGGGAUUGAGGUCAGUGCUCAACUAUUGAUAGGAAAGAUAUAUAAUUUGAUCAGAACAUUUACAGAAUGUGUUUAUUACCUGGACAUAGUUGACUGCAGUGAAGCAACCACAGCGCCUUAUUAAUGGUUAUUUAUGUUUAUAAUGAUUGGUUAGAGUUAAUUACUCAUGUUUGUUUUUAUUUUAAAUAAGAGUAAGUAAUUGUAGAUCGAUUUCUCCAGCAAUACACAUAGAUUUUGAUAUCUAUUGGCCAAUUUUAUUUUUGAGUGCAUAAUUCUUCAAAUAAUGUUUUUGUGUGGCAGGGUAAUUGCUAUAGCUACAAGCUAAAAGCAAGGUCAAUUGUAAAAUGGCUUCAUUGCGAAACAGCAAACAUCCCAGAUAUGAUCAUCAAAAUGACCUUCAGCAUGCUUGGUAAGUCUAAUCAAGACUUGUGAAAAGUGACGGAACUACCAUUAUUAAAAAGUCCAUAUAGGUUAACCAAAGCAAUUGAUCUUACUGUGUUUUAAAGAGUUAUCAGAUAUUUUCUGAUUUGUUUGAAUUGCCGAUUCAUCACCAACUUUGAACGUGUAGCAUACCAUAUUCUGGAUAAGCCAAUUACAUGCAACUGAAAGUCAUGGCAUGCUGAAUUAGAAUUAGGAGUGGAAAUGGAGUCAACAAUUCAGUAACUUCUUAAUGACAGUUGUACAUGCCUGUUUGAUGGGAUUCUGAUAGCUAUCUGUCACCUACAUCGUUAUGUGUUUAUUUCUUUAACAGAUUCUAUCAGAGUACCUUCAGUGGGCCUAUAUGCAUAGCAGCAUCUGAUAAGACUUUAUUAUAAACAAUUUCAGUAUUAUUUUUUGACUUGUACGUUUAUUUGUUUCUGAAUGGAUGUAAAAGUAUUGAGCUAUUUUUGUAAUUAAUCAACUUUGCUUAACGAACAUUCUGGUCGACUCAACAUGUAGACUGAAAUUAAUAAUCCCUUGUCUAAAACAGUUUGUGUAUGGAAUAAAGAAUUGAGUUAAAUAACAAAA